GAUGAAGAACGCAGCGAAAUGCGAUAAGUAAUGCGAAUUGCAGAAUUCCAGUGAGUCAUCGAAUCUUUGAACGCACAUUGCGCCCUUUGGUAUUCCGAAGGGCAUGCCUGUUCGAGCGUCAUUAUCACCCCUCAAGCCCUCGGCUUGGUGUUGGACGGUUUGGUGGAGGCCCCCUCGGGGGCUCCUGCCCCUCCCAAAGACAAUGACGGCGGCCUUGUUGGACCCCCGGUACACUGAGUUCUUCACGGGACACGUAUCGGACACAUGGGUUUACGGGACACGGUCUGCCUCCCCUCAGGGAGAAUCUUUCUAAGGUUGACCUCGGAUCAGGUAGGGAUACCCGCUGAACUUAAGCAUAUCAAUAAGCGGAGGA
rnacentral:misc_RNA from 1 species